AGGGCACUGAACGAAUACCCUCAAACUGAGCGAAUACCCUCAAACAAUCUGAAGAUUCAGUGAUGCAUGUAUAUAGGUGGUUAAUAUUCAAAACAUUAAGGAUGGUGUACCAAUUAUAGGAUGCCAUUUUCUGUUGGGAUCACAAAUGGUUGGGUCGCAUGCACAUAGAUUGGUUAUAGUCAGUUGUUGUGGGCGAGUAGUAACACAAUGAGGGCAAAGUAUUUGCAAGCACAUGGUGCACCCAGUGUCUAUACUUACAGCCAGAGAUUCUGAUCUUUAAGCUACGUUUUGGAUCAUGCAAAGAUUUUGAAAAAUAAUUGGGAAGCUGGAAGUUGUCUAUUGCUCUGCCUUCAUCCAUGUCCCAUUUCCUCACUUGCUCACUCCCACUGGUAUUUUGAGCAACGUGGUUCACCUAUGUGAAAUGAUUUGGGUAUUACAUUGAGGAUGCAAAGUAGAAUG